GAACUGUGAUCUCAGGCACUUGUAUCUAUUAUAGGUCUUUUUUAUUCUAGCUUCGCUCCUUGGGGAGAUCGGCUUUAAUAAAAAGGUGUAAAACUAUCUUAGAUCUUUUUGCAUAUAUCGGGGGAUUUGCGUAAGAUUCUAUUGGUGAGUAUUCGCACUCGGAAGGGCAAUGAUGAAUGUUGAAUUAUCGGACAUAGUACGCUAAGGUUGUAUGUCUAAAGGGAAACAGCCCAGAACAAGAGUUAAGGUUCCAAAAUUAAUGUUAAGUGAAAUUAAGGAAGUCCCUAUCAAAUACGACUAGGAAAUAGGCUUAGAAGCGGCCAUUUUUUGAAGACCUCGUAACAGAGCACUGGUUUAGUGAAUUUAAUUUUACAUUGAUAGGUGGCGCCGAAAAUUUAACGGAUCUAAACAAUAUACCGACACCUUGUCCGCAUUUACAAGAGCAAAGUUUGCUCUUGUUCUUUGUGGGGUAGCAGAACGUUGGGGAUAUUAAUUACUUUAUCUUUUCAAGAUAAAUGAGAUAACCCAAGUGAUAAUGCUGACAUGAGUAACGAAAAAGGGUAAAACCUCGCCUUAAGCUUAUGGUUUUUAUUAAAGUAACGGCCUCUAAGUUUACAAACCUAAAGGAUAAAACGAUGAGAAAAUCUGUAAUACUAGUAACAACCUUUAUUAAAGUGAUAAAGUGUUCUGGAAAAACUAGUAUGCCCGAGCCAGCGACAACUCGGGUUACACUAUUUAAGUGGACAAUUAACUUUAACUAAAGAUAAAACCCUAAUAGUGACGACCGUACCUAGAAACUACCACAAGUAAGCUAGUAGAGAAUACGAAGGCGUUNAGNAACAGAUUCAUC
rnacentral:rRNA from 1 species